rnacentral:rRNA from 1 species
AGCGAACGCUGGCGGCAUGCCUAACACAUGCAAGUCGCACGGGGGGGCUUCGGCCUCCCAGUGGCGGACGGGUGAGGAACGCGUAGGGACCUGUCGAGGGGUGGGGGAUAACCGCGGGACACUGCGGCUAAUACCGCAUGACGCCGCGGCGUGACAGCCGGGGCCAAAGGCGAAAGCCGCCCGCCGAGGGGCCUGCGUCCGAUUAGCUGGUUGGCGGGGUAGCGGCCCACCAAGGCGUCGAUCGGUAGCUGGUCUGAGAGGGUGAUCAGCCACACCGGGACUGAGACACGGCCCGGACUCCUACGGGAGGCAGCAGUGGGGAAUAUUGGACAAUGGGCGCAAGCCUGAUCCAGCAAUGCCGCGUGGGUGAAGAAGGUCUUCGGAUUGUAAAGCCCUUUCGGCGGGGACGAUGGUGACGGUACCCGCAGAAGAAGCCCCGGCUAACUUCGUG